CCCAGUCUCCUUGCAGUUGCUGUAGGUUCUGGGGCCCAGGGAUUGUACUAGAACUAGCUGUUAAAUGACCAGCCAUAGUCAGUACUUGUUCGAUGCAUUUUUUUUUUUUUUUAAAGCUUAGGCUUUCAAACUAUCUGCUUCUGGUUAGUUUCUUAUACAAAACCCACAGCUAAAGAUCUAGCGUAGCCAUCAUUGUAACACGGGUGGGUCGAGAAGGUUAAAUUCACCCUAAGUGGGGCUUGAACGCACAACCACAACAGAUAAAGCUGAAUUCAAACCUUCCCUGUGCCUAACCACACGGAAGUGUACUUUGAUGUGACGACCUCUAGAUAGAUACGUACAGAAGUCUCCUCCUCUUGCCACCCAUCGAACACACGUCUGCUUGGGACUUCAAAUGGAAGAUGGGUGAUUAGGACACACACCUGACUUCCUUCCACACUUGCUUCCUCUCUCACCUCUUCCCCAGGAUCCUCCAGACCUAGGAGCAGCGCUCUCUCCUCUGGUUUGCUUCCUGAAGUAAAGCUCUGCCAUCAGUUCUGCUGGGCUUGCUUCUUGAUAUCUUAAAGAGGAAGUUAAAGACAUCCAGAAACCCCUAUUUCUUAACCAACGACUGUCUUUCAAGAGUACUGUCUGGCUGAAAAAAAUUCUAUUUUGUUAUCUGAAGCUAAAUAGUACAUAUCUCCUUUGCAUUUUUUUUUUCUUUGCUAAUCCUAACUUCACCUCCAGAGCAAGCAUAUGGUUGUGGUGACCAGGAAGAAAGUCACAUGCUCAGCCACACAAAAGAGGAAUGCAUUUAUCCCAUUCUUCAAAAUCGGAUCCUGCUUACGUCAUUCAAGACUUCCUAUUUGACUUAGGGUGCAUGGAUUUUCAGUAAACACUGAUUGAUUGAAGGAAUGAAUCCAGAACUCCUAGAAGAACAUAGACCAGGCUGGGCCAAGUCUGGGUGCCCCCAUCCCUAACCUCUCCAGGUUGGCAAUACAUGCCUCCAGGGAAAAAACAAAAACAAAAACAAAAAGCAGGCAGGAGGAAAAUAUCUCAUCGUGUUGCUCUGAGGAUCAAGUGACAUCACAUAUAGGAAAAUGCUGUGUCAACCAAAAGACAGUCUACUAAUGAUUAGCCAAUUCAAGUGAGAGAGACACAGCAGGAGAGGGAGAAACAGGCUUCUGCCGAGCAGGGAGCCCAUGGUCUUCUGCACCAAAUCAGUCCUCCAAGGAACGGCCAGGUGGACUCAAGAAGCUGAUCAUUUGCCAUCGAGCGUCUUCAUGGGACACUUGGCUGUUUCCAAGCCGCUGAUACCCUGGACCUUUCAGCAUAGGCCAGUUUGGUAGUCAUGUGGGAGAAGGUCCUCAGAGAACUGCGGCUGAGCUACCUCUAUGUGUACCUGCGGUCUUGCCCUCCAGGUCCUGCUGUGCACUGGGAGGCCUCCAGUUUAGAAAUGGGCUUGGGGAAUCAGAGUUCUCGAUGGGAGGGCUGCGGGGAAGACACGGGCCGGCCAGCCUGAGGAGCUGCGGUGGUCAGCACGAGCUCCGGCAUCUCAGGGGGAUGCUGUAGGGUCCAGCAGCCCAGGGUGAGACUCCGGAACCCCCAGGCUUCUGUGUGGCACUGGGCGGGGCCCAGAAGAGAGGUUGUUCCUCUGGACUCUCUUCCCCAUAUCAUAAGCACCCAGGCCCCAGUGAGCGCAUCUGCUAAAUUUUCCUUCAAAAAAUUUAGCAUCUGCUAAAUUUUCCUUCAAACAGUUUUGCACCUCGCUGUGGUGGGCUCUGCAGUGCGGAGACCCAACCUUCCUUUGGGGAGCUGUUGUCAGAACGACUUGCAUCUAGCUCCAGCCCAGAUCUCUCUUUGGAGCCCUAGACCCUGCUGAGCUGCUUCCCCGACACAGGGCAGUGGCUAGACACCCUCGCUCCAGGUGAAAAUGCCUCUUCCCUGUCCCCCACCACCCUCUCCCUCGGUCCCUAGACUCCAGACAUAAUGCACCCCCACCCUGCCCAGACUCUAGACCAUUCUAAGCUCCCCCUUCCAAUCAUCUCUGCAACACAUUAUAGUUGCUGUUCUUACUUCUCUUUUUCUCAUUAUUUCAGAAAGAUGAAAAUCCCACCUUCCCUUUUAUGGGGAGCAGUCUUCAGCCAAGCUCUGGAAAUCUGUCUCCGUGGAGGGAGUUUCCAUCUCCAGCGAGGGAAGGGGGUUGUCAGAAGGACCUGGAGGUUAAUUGCUAGGACAGGCGACAGCCGUCAAACUGGAGGGGUCAGAAUAGAAAAUCUAGAAGUAUCUUCAGUCCUACUUGUAAGACUGCCUUCAGUGUGGUGAGGGAGGCAGAGGCUAUGCCUAAUUUAGUAGGAGAACUUGGGCAAGUCCACUCCCUGCUCUGAGCCUCAAUUUUCCCAUCUCCAAAAUGGGAAUGAUGAAUCUCCCUUCCCAGGGUAUUGAGGACCAAAUGACCCAACCAUUGCGAAAGCUUUAACACAGACCUGGCAUGUGGGAGAUGUUUCAUACAUGCCAGCUCUCUUUCCCUCUCCCACAGGACAGCUGUCCCCUCCAGGUGCCCCCAAGGCAGGUACCCACCCCAGGACAGUCAGGACUGAGGAGGAGGUGGGGGCACCAUCCGCAGAGCUGGUGGGGACUAUAGAAAUGGGGGUUAAGCAAAUUGCCCAGCGCAGUGGCCCUCAUGCUCGCCUCCUAAUUAGCUCGAGUUAAUGAACAGCAUGAUUUGUGACUCGCUGCUUCUCAAGGGUGCCCUUGCUGUUCCUCCCAUCUGGGCCCCGCAGCGGCUCCCACCCCCAUUCCACCAACUGCACAGUCCUCAGCUGCACGGUGGGCCUGGACAUUGGCCAUGCAUGGGGGAUCGGCUCUCUCAGUCCCCUGGGCCCUCAGCUCUGCCCCAGGCUGGUUCCCAAACAGGCAGGGCCAGGGGGGAGUCCCAGCCAGUGCUGAGGAACUCAGUGUAGAAAGCUCUGAGCUAGUUUCUGCACUGCACACUUUUUUUUUUUUUUUUUUUUUUAAACAGAUGAUAGAUUUGGCAUAGACCAUGCAGGGUAUUGUCUGUGGCGUCCAGGCUAGCAGGCUGAGGCUUCCCCAGGGCAGGGGCUCAUCAUGUCCCCUCAUCUUCUUCCUUCUGUGGGCCCCUCCACAGCAGACACACAGCGGAGACAGGGCCUUCUCUUGGUCUGAGCAAACCUCUAGGAUACUGGCUAGGCUUGCAGGGCCCUGUUCUCAGAAAAUGGGUUCAUGGGAGAGGCUUCCUGAACCUUCUAGCUCCACCUCUCUCUCUCUUUGUCCUCGAGGUGGGCAGAGACUAAAAUGAGAAGGGUCCACGGUGUUGCUCAGCCCCAGAGCCAGGUCGCCCUACAGAGAGCCUUCAUGGCCCCAGUGGCGCGUCCUCCCUUCUCCACUCCACCGGGGCCACCUCCCACACCUGCCACCAUGACCCCGGGCUGGGCCAGGAGGAGAAGAUUCACGCUGAGUGCACAGCUAUAGCCGCGAUGGAAGUAGAGAGCAAGGCCACAGUCUCCGGAAAACUCAAGACCCCCACCUCAACUGCAUUCUCCUGGGGCAGGGGGUAGGAUCGGCUGGACUCAGCAUCCUUGUCGGGAAUGAUGGCAAGUGUGUCCCAUGGCAAGCACAGAUCCCAGUGCUUCAGGGCUCAGGGCGCCCACAGGCCAGCCCCAUCCCUGAGCGGCCCACAGGGCCCAGAAGGGGGAAUGUGGGAGGAGUCCAGUCCCCUUCACCAACACUCCUUGACUGUGGGAGGUGGUGUCUGGGCCAGGGAGUGGGGUGGGAGUGGGGGAGAGCAAGGGUGGAAAAGAACCAAUACAGAGACACAAGAAACCAGGCUCAUUAGGGUGAAAUUCACCAGGAAGUCCUUCUGGAACUUUCUCCCCUAAUAGUACAAGCUGUACCAGCAUCUGAAAACUUCCCUUCAAAACCCACCGUGGAGCAGCCUGGAAAGCCAACACACCGCAGAGCAACACAACUGCCAACACUCAGCCAGCCAGGGGGUAGGGGCCCCAAGAGUGGGAUCAUGGCAGUACUCGCAUGUUUUAUUUUAUUUCCUGUCAUACUGUGUCGGGGCCAAAUAUAACCUAUAAUUUACCUUGUCUCUUCUGUUUCAAGAGACGACAUAAAUAUUACAUUAAGAAAUUAGGCUGUUUGUGUUCGAAUCUUCAUGAAUAAGGUUUGUUAGGUUGUUCGUGGUAGCAUAUAUUGUUUGAUUGUAAAAUACACAUUAUGUAAAAUUUACUUUAUUAGCCACUUUAGAUGUACAGUUCAGCAGUGUUAAGUAUAUCCACAUGGCUAUACGAUUGAACUCCGUAUUUCUUCAUUUUACAAAACUGAAACUCCAUACCCAUUCAACACAACUCCCCAUUUCCCCCUCUACCAAGCCCAUGGCUACUUUUUUUUGUUUUUGUUUUUGUUUUUUAAUUGAGGAAUACUCUACAUACAGUGAGAUGCAUAGAUCUUAAGGAUAAAAUCUGACAAAUUUUGACAGAUGCAUACACCUGUGUAAGUGUAGCUCCAAUCAAGAUACAACACCUUCCCAUCCCCAACAAAGCUGCUGUAUUUCCCUUUUUAAAAUUUUCAUCUUAACUAGAAUCAUAGUCACCAUGUGAUGAUGAUUUCCAGAAUAUUAGGUCCCCAGAACUUUUCUGUCUGUCUCCCCUUCCCAAGGCAACCAAUGUCCUGAUUUCUAUUAUCAUGGAUUGGUUUUGCCUGUUCAUCCCAUUGGUACUCCCUUCCUGCUUCUCUUUCUUUCAACAUGAUCCUAAAAUUUAGCCAUGUAGCACCUAUUAAUAGUAUAUUGAUUUCCAUUGCUGAGUAGUAUUCCAUUAUAUGAAGAUAAUAGAGGUUUUUUUUUUUUUUUAAAUUUUAUUUAGUUACUUGACAGAGAGAGAGAGAGAGAUCACAAGCUGGCAGUGUAGCAGGCAGAGAGAAAGGGAGAAGCAGGCUCCCUGCUGAGCAAAGAGCUCAUGGGGCUCAUGGGGCUCGAUCCCAAGACCCCCGGGAUCAUGACCUGAGUCGAAGGCAGUCGCUGAACCAACUAGCUCCCCGACAACAUAGUUUUUUAUGUACCCGCCUACAGAUGGACAUUUGGGUUGUUUCUAGUUUUCUUGCUAUUAUCAAUAAAACUGCUGUGAUGAUUGGA